AGCAGCCGCGGUAAUUCCAGCUCCAAUAGCGUAUAUUAAAGUUGUUGCAGUUAAAAAGCUCGUAGUUGAAUUUCGGGGUUAGUAGGUCGGUCAUGCCUCUGGUAUGCACUGGUCUCACUGAUUCCUCCUUCCUGAUGAGCCAUAAUGCCAUUAAUUUGGUGUUGCGGGGAAUCUGGACUGUUACUUUGAAAAAAUUAGAGUGUUUAAAGCAGGCUAACGCUUGAAUACAUUAGCAUGGAAUAAUGGAAUAGGACGUUCGAUCCUAUUUUGUUGGUUUCUAGGAUUGACGUAAUGAUUAAUAGGGAUAGUUGGGGGCAUUAGUAUUCAAUUGUCAGAGGUGAAAUUCUUGGAUUUAUUGAAGACUAACUACUGCGAAAGCAUUUGCCAAGGAUGUUUUCAUUAAUCAAGAACGAAAGUUAGGGGAUCGAAGACGAUCAGAUACCGUCGUAGUCUUAACCAUAAACUAUGCGACUAGGGAUCGGAUGAU
rnacentral:rRNA from 1 species